AUUUAUUCCAUCUCCCAAAAAAACAUGAACAAAAAUAAUGCAACAUCUAUCAUUGUCCUUUUCAUCCACUCAGCCCUAAUGAACUUUCAUUUAUUCUUUUCAGUCCAACAUCCAUCCCUGACCCACUGCCCGAUGUCUCCACUGUUAAUGAUGCAGAUUCACAAAAGGAAACAGACCUAUCUCCAUUCCCUGAGAUCUCUACUCCGCUCCUUGACACCAGCAACCAGAGAUCCAAAGCACUUCUGAGUAGGAGGCGAACACGAUCGCGGCCAUCUCGUUCUCUCCGAUUAGGGUCGAUUAAAGCUGCCAGAGGAGAAUUGAGUGUCUUUGAUGGUGUAAAAGGGGAUGAAUCAAAAGAAAACGAGUCGGACUCUGAAGAGGAGCCCCCCAAAUCGAAGCCAGUUUCUUCUCCUCCAACGUCGACUCAGAAAGUUCCUAUAUUUCCAGGUCUGAGCCCUGCAGCUCUGCUCGCUGGGAUAAAAAAGCGAACCGGUGGAGGAGCAGCUGCAGCAGAAGAGGGAUCAGCAGAUGACAGAGGAGGAAAGAGAAAGAGAGUAAGGAAGUCACUCCAUCUCCAUCACAAACUUCAGGAUCUCCUCGCUUGCCGGCACAUCUGGCAGGUGCUGCGCGGGUGCUGCCCCCUAUGGGCAGCAAGGAAGGAAGCCCUGCCUCUUCACCUGCCUGGUUAAAAGAACUGAAGUCUAAGAAGCGAAUGAGUCAGCUCAAUGGCGAAACUUAACCAGACACAAGUAAGUUGCAGUGCCAGUCAGGAGAUUACAUUAACUCAUCAGGGAUGUGAGUCAUGUUCAUUUUUUUUUACUUCAAAUUAGUCUGAUUCUAAGGUAAUCAUACAAUAGCUUACUUGUUUUGGAAAUAUUAAUUGGAUUCCCAAAUUUGAGUCUAUUGUAGUUUUUCUCUCAUUUAGGUCCUUUUUGUAACCAUCA